UCCUGGUUAGUUUAGUUGUUAGAACGCUCCACUGGAAAUGUAGAGGUUCCUGGUUCGAUACCAGGACCAGGCG
rnacentral:tRNA from 1 species